UUUAAGGUGGUUGAGGCUCGAUGUGAGUAGAGAACACAAUAUGAUAUUAUUUGAGCCUCCGGUAUCUGGGGGUUUCUUUGCGAAUUGUUCGGCACGAGCAUGGUGGAGGAAAUUAGAUCGAGGAACUUGAGGAGGCGAAGAACCAACUUCCAUUGAGGGGAUUCUUGGACGUGUAGGUUCGAGAGGAUACACCAUACAAACUUGAAAAAGAGAUCGAGGGCUAACAAUCACACAUGAGAGAGAAGGAGUUGGAAUUUGAGGUUUGUAACGGCCGAGAUCCACUGUCAGCAGAUAUUGUUUUUUUUGGGCUUUAAAACAUGUAUGCUAGGAGAAGGUUUCACACACCCUCGUAAAUGGUGUGUUGUUCUCCUCCCUAACCAA